GUGCACUGUUCGUAACCUGUCAACAGCCCUUAACUGGUGAUGAGUUCCAUUCCAGUGCCAUAGAAAUUCCCAAAAUAAUACCAGACUGACUUUGUCAGUCUGAUUUUAUACGUGGGAGACAAAU
rnacentral:snoRNA from 1 species